AUCGGAAGUAUCGAUAUUUCAGGAUCGAUCCGCACAUCACUACCACCAGGUGUAACUGAUAAAAGAAGAGAGGGCGCGAAUGGCUCGGUUUGGCUUCGUUAAUGUCUGUGGAGAAAGUUCCAGAAGGAGAGAAACUCUCCGAACUCUCGACCUGUCGGGUUUCUCUGUUUGUUUUAUUUGGUCGUUAUGUUUCUUUCUUUUAUUUAUUUAUUCUUUUAGAUUUAAGAAGUUAAACGUUUCCAGUAUUUUGCGGAGGAAUGAGUUUAAAGGAAUCCCGGAAGUCAUCGCUAAUUAAAUGCUAACAGAUUAGCAACAACGGAGCCUGUACGUAGUCACUGGAAAAUAUAUAUACAAAACAUUCACCAUGGGUCUGGAACAGGAAACAAGGACAAGACGAUGAAGAAUUUCUAUCACAUCAAACCACAAUGUUUGAAGAGUUCCUGGGAAAUGAAUAAACACAGAAGAAAAAGGAAACAGGAAGUCGAGUCUCCGACGUGUGGAUUUACAGACACCGGGCUGUGGAAUGACAUCUGAGCUGAUCUCCAAGACAAGGUCAACAGACAACAGGCACUGACGGUGUAGAUGUUUGUGGUGGAAGCUGGUGAACAACACCGAUGUCAGAAACCUCAGCACGAUGGACUGAUGAAGUAGCAAGGGACUGCACGGAGAGACUGUUUGUCAAAGGAACACAGUAAUCAUCCUGCCUGGUCAGCACCACGGUCAGCUCCAGUCUCAGUGACGCAGCCAAUGUUCUGAAGAACCCUGAAAAACCUGGACCGUUCUCACCUAGAAGAGUUACAGGUAAGAGCUGGUCUACAGUGAGUGUGUGUGUGUGUGAGUGUGUGUGUGUGAGUGUGUGUGUGACAGAGGGACUGUUUUCACUUUAUUAACUUUCUGUCUGACGUAACGAGCUGAGAGAAAAUACUGAUCCAUCAUUUCUUCUGUUGCUUCUGUUAUUGAAUCAUUAAUGUGCAGUGAAGUCUGUGUGUGUGGUGUUGUUGGUACAGUACGGUACAGUACGGUACGGAUGUUUAGACGUUUUAGUUCUCAGCUCUGGUUUAAGAGAUGAUUAAUGAUGGCCAGGACUGUGUCUGUGUUUGGGCCUGGGUCUAAGAUCUAGAUCUAGACCACUGAG